UACGUAGGGUGCAAGCGUUAAUCGGAAUUACUGGGCGUAAAGCGUGCGCAGGCGGUUAUGCAAGACAGAUGUGAAAUCCCCGGGCUCAACCUGGGAACUGCAUUUGUGACUGCAUGGCUAGAGUGCGGCAGAGGGGGAUGGAAUUCCGCGUGUAGCAGUGAAAUGCGUAGAUAUGCGGAGGAACACCGAUGGCGAAGGCAAUCCCCUGGGCCUGCACCGACGCUCAUGCACGAAAGCGUGGGGAGCAAACAGG
rnacentral:rRNA from 1 species